CAUGGGGUAUCCUUGAAAGACAGGUAAUGCACCUGGAGGAGAAUUGAUGGGCCAGGGAGGGUACAUAUGAUGAGGAUACUGUCCUUGAAGAUACUCUUGGUGGCCUGGCGGUGACUGGUACAUCAUAGGUGCAUUACCAUCUGAGAAAAUCAAUGGAAAAUCUCCUUUAACUCAAAAUUGAAAAGAGUUUUUUUUUAAAAAAAAAGCAGCACUGUGUAAGUCAGACAUGUAAUAUAUGCAGCGUUUCUGAUUGUAGAAAUUUGAUACAAAACCAGAAGAUUGUAAAUUCAACUUCAUUUAUUAGUUACACUUAGUUACCCUCGCACAAAUAUAAUGAUGUAGCAUGACAUUCUAAGUCUACAACAAAGACAUGGAAGCAUAGAUUUAAAAUACUUUUUUAAACCAAAAUUCAUCAGGUUUCUAAUGUUACCCUGUCAUACCUGUAAUUGCAUUCCCCUUAUUUGUUGAAGAUGGUUCGUUUGGAGAUUCAGACCAUGUUUCUCUAGAUUCUGUCUGUUUGUCAGUCAAACUUGUAAGUAUAAUGCCUGACGUAUUCACAGAAGGGGAAAAGUCUGGCCGGCUGGACAGCGCUUCUGCUGCUUCAAUUUCAAGCCAUUGGCCACUUUCAUGCUUUCUUUUCCAUAGUUCUUUGAAUUUUAAGCAUGCAUCCCUGUUUUUUUGCAGCAAAUUAUUCAAAUUAUGAGUCAACUGCAAGAAAAAUGAUGGUCAUCAACACAACACUUUCUUAUAAAUCAAGAAAUAUCAGUCUCUACAUACAUCAACCGAGAGGCUCCAAAGCUGUUUGCAAACGAUAUCAAUGGUGGCAUCCGAU
rnacentral:lncRNA from 1 species